UACGGGGGGGGCAAGCGUUGUUCGGAAUUACUGGGCGUAAAGGGCUCGUAGGCGGCCAACUAAGUCAUACGUGAAAUCCCUCGGCUUAACCGGGGAACUGCGUCUGAUACUGGAUGGCUUGAGUUCGGGAGAGGGAUGCGGAAUUCCAGGUGUAGCGGUGAAAUGCGUAGAAUAUCUGGAGGAACACCGGUGGCGAAGGCGGCAUCCUGGACCGAUACUGACGCUGAGGAGCGAAAGCCAGGGGAGCAAACGGG
rnacentral:rRNA from 1 species